UGCUUGUUCAGGGAGAGAGAGAGCUGAACAAAGAAACAAACAAAAAAAAAAAACGCAUGCUGGCAGUGCAAGGCAUUCUGUGUCGAUUUUUCCUGUAUACGGUAGGGAGAAUCGCUGGGACAUAGUUCAUUAGACAGCAGCAACAGAACACCGUCGGGCUGCGUUGGAAAAACUUUUACACCAAGACCGAUUAGAACGAUCCACUUUCAGGAGUGAGAGCAAAAAAAGCUGCUCGGCGAAAAAAAGAGUCAAAUUUCAUGAGAACAGCUGAUCAAUCAAUAUUCUAGAUAAGCUAAGGCAGGGGUCUCCAACCCUGCUCCUACAGAGCACCUGCUCCUGUAUGGUUUCCAUGUCUACCUACUCUAGUCAUACCUGGUCAAUUAACAUUGGUGUUUCCCAGCUCUUGAUUGGCUGAGCAUACCUGACUGAGUUAAUUAGCUGCUGGUGGAGUAGAGACCGUUGAAAAACAUGGUGGACAGGUGCUCUCCAGGUGCAGGAGCCAAUUCAUCCUCAGACAUGGAGGAUUUGGUCACUCUCUUCUGAUGAUGUAUGUGGCAGCAUUAAUCCAACGGUAACCUGAAUUACAUCAGAAACACAAACUGAAACUAAACUUCAAACUGACCUCGCAUGAACCUGAUCAACAAUCUCAAGGAUUCCCGAAACCAAAGUUAAACCAAUCUGAAACUAACCCAUCGUUCACCGGAAACCACGAUAACCUUAUGCUUAAUUUUUGUGUCUGGCAGAUUAUCCAAAGAGAUUAAGAAGUGAAAUGAGCAUAAACCUGAAACCAACCUUUUCUUGGAAUCCGACAAGCUAAGGUGUCAGAUCAGGGAAUGCUUCAUCGCCUGCUGCCUUGCACUACAUUUCCCAGAGUGCUCUGCUGUUCUGCUCUCUGUCCUCAGUGUGAAGAGCCCAAAAAGCACAAAUUUCUUGAUGACUUGUAUUGGUUAUUUGUUUGAUGUCUGACCUCAGACACACUGGAUGUUUUUUUUUAGUGAACACUUGUUAAAAAAGAAGUCACUCUUCCAGAAUUUGCCUUUGUGACUAAAAACCAGCCUGGUCCCUAAAUACCAAUUACUGUAAAGACACAGUCCUAAAAUCUGGAGAUUUGGGAUUGUUGAUGGAUGCAAUAAAAAACCAUCAGGGAGUUUUUUUUGUUUUUUUUUUAGUCAACUUUUGGUGUGAUUCCAGUUUCUGCUUAAUAUUGUUAUCACCCAACCAGCAUUGGAAUUGGGUGGGUUUUGGGUUUAUCGUACAUAACAUGAUGAUAACUAUCAGAUAAGAUAGGCCUGGGAGCAUGUGUUGGUGUCACACAUCACCACAUCCAUCACGCUAUAGAACCACCUUGGCUUCUGGAUAGGGACCACCCAGACAGGCCAGCAGUCCAUCCCCACCCCUCUAAUGCACCCGUCUGUCCACUGCAGCCAGGUGAAAUGUGGGCGGGUCCUUGUCCCUCUCCAGCUGCAGGGGUUCUCAACACUGAGGCACCUGCGUGCUGGAUCAAAGUCAUUCCAGCAGUACCCAAAGAUCCUCUGAGGGGACCCAGGACCAAAGACAUCCAGUCGUCACCUUGUGUUACUGGUUAACAGUCUGUCUCCCAGCUACACAGUUUGGUGCAAGAUAUUGAGAAUGUUGGUGCAGUUUCAGGAUUGGACCGAUUUACUUUGGUCCCAAUGGGAUUAUAUCCGGUUGCUGCCAGGUCGUUGGGCUUGUGUGGAGUUGUUAGGUGGGCCAUUCAAUCUUUUUAAUCAUAGAAAUUCACCUCAGGUUCAGCUAACCUAAAAAUUAGUGAUUUCUUUUGGAUCAGGUACCACCUUUUGGAUCUAUGUUGAGCUCUACUCCUACAGACAACAGCUACCAAAUGUUCUAUUGGAUUUUGCCUCCUGUCACUGAAAGUGAGGCCCAAAACACACAGAUCAGAUGAAAUAAACCAGGAAACAUCUGCAAAACAUUUUAAGGACUAGUUUUGUGAACUUUGAUAAUGUGAUUUCCAUCACACACUGUUUGGGCCAAACCGGUGGAAGCAGCAAUGGCCCUUGUAUAGAUUUGAUCAUUUGGUGACUCAAACAACAAUACACAAGAUGUAAUUUUCUGUGUAAAUUUGUUGAGCUAUGGGGACAGCUUGCUAGAUUCAGAGUUAGCUUCACCCUUCAGUACCUACCCGAUUUAGUGAAAGAAAAAAAAACUGCUAGUGUUAAACUCUGGGGUACCAAAAUCACACCUUGAAAAGAGUGGAAAGAUGAGCAGAAACUAGUCACACUGAAAGUUUAACGGAAACAUUAAAGUCUAAUCUGCUGAAUGACGGUGAAACAACAAGCUGAUGAAUCAAAACUAUAUGAAUUUUGUAUUGGUCGGAUUUAAAGAUAGCAGUUGUGUGUGUGUGUGUAUAUGUUGUGUGGGGCUAACUAACUUAUUGUGUGUACAUAAAUCCUAUUUAUACCUAUUUAUCCAGCUGUGCCUUCACAUUUGCAGCUAGGUGGCGCUGUCUGGGCUGAGAGUAGCCUCGUUGGCCAUAGUUUCCAGGAUAUCAUGGAAAACUAUUUGUUUUAUUUUUUUCAGUUAUUUUAUCAAUGAGGGACAGAAGCACAGCCAACACAAACCCUGAUCAAUAUGUCCACAAAGAAUCAAUCGAUAAGUUAUUGUAAAUAAACUGAUCCAUUUUUGCACAGUGUCACUACUUCUAGCACAGAGAGUUAGCAUAUUUACAUGUUUGUAGGCUAAGGAAUAGCUACGCUAGAAUAAACAAUCUGCUAGCAUUACGGUAACACCAGCAGUUUGUAGUUGAAUGCUAGCAGGUUGUGGUAUUUUAUAUGGACUGUUUAUAAAUAGUGUGUUUGUAGCGAGCGAAUAUUAUGGUGCUGUGAAUGCUGUCUUUAAUUUGAUCUAAAACAAAAAUGUAAAAAUUAAAAUCUGUUGUUUGCUAACUUUUAACACUUACGAAAUCUCAAUGUGACAAGAACCAAAGCUGCAUCAUUCCUGCAUAUUGAAAUGUAAAAAAAAAAAAGAGGCUAGCUGGUAGGACCAUUUUGCCACUUGUUUGCACCUCAGCGGUACCUUAAAUUUACGCCAUUCCUAAAGUUUUUUUUUUAGCUUAAAUCCCCAGCUCUGUAUGCACUAUGACUUUGUUUAAACUUUUUGUUCAGACAGUUUCCUGUGUAUUGUCCUACAAACAGCAUAAAGGUUGUGUUACCUGUUUGUAUGCUAGCGUAACUGCUAGCAUUUCUGUCAUGAUGACACAUAGCAUUUUGUAGCUACCUGAUGUACCAUACAACAUACUAGCUUUGUCAUUUACUUCAACUUCUGAUUGUAUUUUUCUGACAUUUCUGUUAUUAUGCUACAGUUAGCAUCAUAAUAACAAAGUGCAUGCUAGCCCUUUUGUAGAUAAAGCAAACAUAAUGUUUAAAUGCCAUAACUAUAAAUGACUAGCAUGACGGAUGUACUGGGUCCUUUUUAAAAAAAACUUACUAUUCACAGUUUUAGUGAUGCUACAAAUACAGUAAUUCAGCAACAAGUGGGUAAAGUAGUCAAAUAUAAUUCACUGAGACAAUUACAGCUAGCAUAGCAGAUGCUAUGUGGGCUUUUUGUGGUUGUUGUUUAGAAAUUAAAAAAAAUUCCAGAUAGCUUUGUUUCGCUAACAUUGUUUUUCCGGUAAACCUUGUCAUAUACGAGACAAACCCCACAAAUGGAGAUUAUAGUUUUUUUUCUCCUUUUUUUCUGACUUGUGGUUUACCUUUUUAAUGUUUUAAUGUCAAAUGUCCCAUUUUAAUUAGUGUUGACACAAAUUAGACACAGUUGAUGUGAUCAAAUGACGUUUUUAUGAUUGGGUGAACAACUUCCUGCCUGCAGGCACCCAGAGUCCUCCGAUAAUGUGCAACCACACAGGUCGUUUGUUCAAACUCU